ensembl:lncRNA
GGGGCCAUGGGAUUGCACCGUGAGGCUGAAGUUAGUUGAAGCACGGCACUGCUUGAUUUUCCCUCUUAUCAAGUUCCACUGUGGCCUUAGAGAGGGGAUCCGCCCCCACCAUUGAUCAUGCUAUUUUAGCCACGUCGUUGAGGACUGGGAAAUAUAUCCGACCACAGGCCUUGGCCGUGCAACACGAGGCAUUACAUCCCAACAACCCCUGCUAUCAAUGGCAACAGAACAGAGGCCUUUAACAUCCAUCAAAGCGUCUUCCAGCUUUUCAUCUCGCCCAGACUAUCUAUACCUGUAAUUAGGUUUGGGUGAGGGAGAAGAUGGAUUUGGUUUGCAGCACCAUGCAGAGAAAAACAAGACAUCAGGAAGUCCUUACCGCUGUUCUGGGACCAGCCCUUAAUGGGUGUCUAAUUGACCUGGUCUGUCAUGUGGCCAUGGCUUCAUGCGGUCGGGGGGGCAGUUAUCUAUAUGUGUCAUCCUGAGAGGAUUAGCAUUAGUAGUGCGUCUGUCU